rnacentral:rRNA from 1 species
AGAGUUUGAUCAUGGCUCAGGACGAACGCUGGCGGCGUGCCUAAUACAUGCAAGUCGAGCGAAUCGAUGGGAGCUUGCUCCCUGAGAUUAGCGGCGGACGGGUGAGUAACACGUGGGCAACCUGCCUAUAAGACUGGGAUAACUUCGGGAAACCGGAGCUAAUACCGGAUACGUUCUUUUCUCGCAUGAGAGAAGAUGGAAAGACGGUUUACGCUGUCACUUAUAGAUGGGCCCGCGGCGCAUUAGCUAGUUGGUGAGGUAAUGGCUCACCAAGGCGACGAUGCGUAGCCGACCUGAGAGGGUGAUCGGCCACACUGGGACUUAGACACGGCCCAGACUCCUACGGGAGGCAGCAGUAGGGAAUCUUCCGCAAUGGACGAAAGUCUGACGGAGCAACGCCGCGUGAACGAAGAAGGCCUUCGGGUCGUAAAGUUUUGUUGUUAGGGAAGAACAAGUACCAGAGUAACUGCUGGUACCUUGACGGUACCUAACCAGAAAGCCACGGCUAACUACGUGCCAGCAGCCGCGGUAAUACGUAGGUGGCAAGCGUUGUCCGGAAUUAUUGGGCGUAAAGCGCGCGCAGGUGGUUCCUUAAGUCUGAUGUGAAAGCCCACGGGCUCAACCGUGGAGGGUCAUUU